rnacentral:lncRNA from 1 species
GUGCGAUUUUGACCACAAUAUUUCUAUGAAAAUAUAUAGUUAUAAUGCCCAAUAAUGUACGCCAUGAAAGUGCUAUUCAAGACAAAUUUACCCAUAUCAUAUCUAUAUCUCCAAACCAAAUAUCUGCAGACCGAUUAGUAGUGGUCAGAGUUUCAAAUUUGUGACCUGAAAGAGUAUAAUGCACAAACCAGGGUAAAAGGGAAAAAGAACAGCUUUUUUUAAAAAAAGCCAUGGCUUCUCCAACAUGUCAAGGUAUUAGUCUAAGCAUAUUUUGUAUGCUAAAUCACAAGACCAAGAGCCGUUAAACAAAGCCAUGGCCUCUCCAACAUGUCAAGGUAUUAGUCUAAGCAUAUUUUGUAUGCUAAAUCACAAGACCAAGAGCCGUUAAACCACUACCCACUAGGAACUAGCCUACAACAUAUUUCGUUUUGUUCCCUUUUUGGGCUUAGGUCAAACUCUUAUUCUUUAUUAAUAUAAUUCUGGCAAAACUCCUGCCAGAUUUAAGUUAAAAAAACAUAUUUUGACAAAUAUUUCAGCAAUUUCAUGUGCUGUUGACAAAAUAAGACAUUAAUGGAAAUGUGCUACAUUGUAAAAUCAAACUGAA